UACAGAGGUCUCAAGCGUUGUUCGGAUUCAUUGGGCGUAAAAGGGUGUGUAGGUGGCGCCGUAAGUCGGGUGUGAAAUUUCGGAGCUUAACUCCGAAACUGCAUUCGAUACUGCGGUGCUUGAGGACUGGAGAGGAGACUGGAAUUCAUGGUGUAGCAGUGAAAUGCGUAGAGAUCAUGAGGAAGACCAGUGGCGAAGGCGGGUCUCUGGACAGUUCCUGACACUGAGGCACGAAGGCCAGGGGAGCAAACGGG
rnacentral:rRNA from 1 species